UUUGACAUAUUUUAUUAAGAAUUUAUUUUUUGGGUAAAUAAGGAGUUAGUCAAAU
rnacentral:tRNA from 1 species